GGGGCAUUAGCUCAGUUGGCUAGAGCGCCACACUGGCAGUGUGGAGGUCAUCGGUUCGAGCCCGAUAUGCUCCACCA
rnacentral:tRNA from 1 species